rnacentral:lncRNA from 1 species
AUAUUUUAGCACUAGGUUUGCUUAAAACUGCUUGUAAAAAUUCAAGUACAUGCAGAUGUUUGAGUGGAAUUAUGUGUAUUUGAUGUAAAGGCACAGUGACAGUCUUCUGGAAGCUUCACAUGCUAAAUUGUUAACAGAAUAUGCUACCAGUCCAGCUUUAAACUUUCUUUUUGAGAUUUGAAAUAACGAGUGUGUCUUGAGUCAGCUUGGUCCUUGACACUCAGUCCUUGCCACUUGCCAUACUUUCUAGGUUGUUUUCCUCUCCAACAUGCAACUUAUUUUUUCCUUCUGAAGAUCAAAAGUCCUUAGAAACUGUUUCCUUUUUCCUGUGGACAGAUCCUGUGAUGGUCUGUGAAUUCCUUGUCUCCCAAACAGAUCCCUAGAUGUAAGGAAUGGUUAUCCCUCAACUGUCAUAUUCCCUCACACCCAAAAUUACUCAGGAUGAAACAUGCCUCCUUGGCUUCCAUCAACACCAAACAUAAAGUUCUGGAAAGAAUGAGUGUGCUACCCACCAGUAGUGAUCCUGAGGCUCCAGACUCCUGCUCUUCUUGUUCUCUGUCUCUUGCUGAGGAUGGUCAGCAGAUGCUCGUGGUCCAAACAGGGCUGAAAGCAGACUACUAAGGAGGCAGUUAAUACAUACCAGCAACUGAAACAGCCUGUAUAUAAGGUUUCAAUCAAAAUUUUAUUCCUUGUUCGGAUAUUCUUCUUGCUUUAAAAAUAGGCAAUUAUGCUU